CCCAAUGCAAAAUACAUUUGGUUAAAGAAGUACUUGUAUUUUUAAAAAAAUUUUCUUGGACCAAGUAUUUUAAAUAGAUUUGUUACUAUUCCAAAGUCUCAACUUUCUCAUUCAUUAAAAAACUUUUAAAGGUGGAAAAAUUACUAUGAGGCACCAACAUUAAAAUCUUUUCACAGGAAGCAGAAAAAGAAAGCACCUAUAAUUAUACAACUAAUCUACUUGCAUUUUAAUUUUAUUCUGUAGAUACUGCAAUUGAGAACUUGAUUCUCAUUUUGGAGAAAAUACCUGGUUAGAGUCUGUUCUGAUGGAAAUGGGACCAGGGACCAGCUGGGUGCCCUUUCUGACCAACUCUGGUUCUACCUCAAAUUUCCCAGUGCAAAAAUGGAAUCAACAUCCUUCAGGCUCUGAAAAAGAACUGGGAGGUUAUUCUUUAAAUGUUUCAANUUAACAGGUUCUACCUCAAAUUUCCCAGUGCAAAAAUGGAAUCAACAUCCUUCAGGCUCUGAAAAAGAACUGGGAGGUUAUUCUUUAAAUGUUUCAAUUUUUUUUUCCCAGUAAAAAUACCAUGGUAAAAUAAUACUGAGCUUUAUUUAGUAGUCAACAACAAUUUAUAAAUAUGUAUGAGACACCUGGUUCAUGCAAUGUUGCCUGGGUUGGAAAUUCAAGAUGCAUAGGGCAGAGCCUCUGAAACUGAAAAGCUCUGACAGGUAAAUAAGCAUCACACAGCAUUGCAAGGAGAGCAAAAAUAGUGGUAUGCAUACAGUGUUUCUUAGGUAGUUACAGUGUCUACACCUUUGCCCGAGAGAAUUGAGAGAGGCUUUGCAGAGGAGGUAAUGAUUAAACUGAGCUAAACAAUGAGAGCAGGUGUUUCAGAUGAGACUGGGACAAAGGGAAUUCCAAGCAGAGGGGGGAAAGUCACAUGUUGGGAGCUGUAAAAAGGCAUGAUAUAAAUGUAGGUCAAAAUGGGCACAGCAGAUGUUUCAGGGUGGGAGUGCUAAAUUAGAAUAGGCAGUGAGGUGUGCUUAUGUAACGGGCCGAGACGACAAUGGGGUGCUCUCCAAAUGCCGAAUAUACCUCCUUUACGAUGACUUUUGCUUUCAUUGCUUUCUCUUCCUCCACUCAUACUGGGAAUAAUGUGAAGACCCACUACACAAGGUUGUAAAGCAAAGACUAAAAACUUGAGACAAAAAGGCUAAUUAUCACACAUGCUUAAUUAAAGGUAAGGGCAAAUUAGUCACAUAUUGAAAUGACAAUUCCAAGUUUACCAGAGACCUUUUAAUUUCAACUGGAGGAAAUAAAGCCUUACACUCUGCCAUUAUCGUAAAACCCUUCCUCAAACAUUCCCUUACUACUUCUUCCUCACAACAGUCCUGUAAGGCAAGCAGGGGAUUUGUUAUUCAUCAUUCCCAUUUUAUUUCAGAGGAAACAGUCCCCAAGGUUGAUCUACUCCAUUCCCACAACUAAACCAUAUCAGGGCUGGCCUUGAGCUCCCAUCUUCUGACUUCCGGUCUCAUGUUCAUCUUCACUACUCAAUGCCACUUCUCUUUAUAUAAAAGAAUCAACUGUGGUACUUCUACCUUUUUAGUUAUUUACAAAGAUUGAUUGCUCUUCAGUGUUUGGAAGAGGGAAGCCUCUUAGGACA
ensembl:lncRNA